GCGGCUUUAGCUCACUUGGGAGAGCGCCAGACUGAAGUCACACUUCGGUUAGAUUAUCUGGAGGCACUGUGUUCGAUCCACAGAAGCCGCA